rnacentral:snRNA from 13 species
GGGGCCAGGGUGAUCACGAAUGCCUUGGACCUUGGUGGAGGUUCGACUUUGCACUCCGGCGUGUCGUAGCCUGUGACAAUUCCUAAUCGGGUCAGCUCG